UACCCUACGGGGGGCAGCAGUGGGGAAUAUUGCGCAAUGGGGGAAACCUUGAUGCAGCAACGCCGCGUGAGUGAUGGCGGCCCUCGGGUUGUAAAGCUCUGUCUUCAGGGACGAUAAUGACGGUACCUGAGGAGGAAGCCACGGCUAACUACGUGCCAGCAGCCGCGGUAAUACGUAGGUGGCGAGCGUUGUCCGGAUUUAAUGGGCGUAAAGGGACCGUAGGCGGAUUUUUAA
rnacentral:rRNA from 1 species